CCUUUGUACACACCGCCCGUCGCUACUACCGAUUGAACGGCUCAGUGAGGCCUUCGGACUGGCCCAGGGACGUCGGCAACGACGACCCAGGGCCGGAAAGUUGGUCAAACUCGGUCGUUUAGAGG
rnacentral:rRNA from 1 species